AGCCCUCUUGGGCGUUUCCUCCCUGAACUUGGGCCGUCCGAAACCUCGGACGGCCCUUUUUUCUAGGCU
rnacentral:sRNA from 1 species